CCUACGGGAGUCAGCAGUGGGGAAUCUUGCACAAUGGGGGAAACCCUGAUGCAGCACCGCCGCGUGAGUGAUGACGGCCUUCGGGUUGUAAACCUCUUUCUUUAGGGACGAUAAUGACGGUACCUGCGGAGGAAGCCACGGCUAACUACGUGCCAGCAGGCGCGGUACUUCGUAGGUGGCCUGCGUUGUACGGAUUUACUGGGCGUAAAGGGAGCGUAGGCGGACGUUUAAGUGAGAGGUGAAAGACUUUGGCUCAACUUGAGUGCUGCAUUGCAAACUUGAUGUCUAGAGUGCAGGAGAGGAGAAGGGAAUCACUAGUGUAGCGGUGAAAUGCGUAGAGAUUAGGAAGAACACCAGUGGCGAAGGCGAUUCUCUGGACUGUAACUGACGCUGAGGCUCGAAAGCGUGGGGAGCGAACAGGAUUAGAUACCCUAGGAGUC
rnacentral:rRNA from 1 species